AAAACUUGAAGGAAAAUUUAGCAAAAUGAUUUUGUUACAACAAUUGAGAACUAGAAAGGAAAACUAAGAGAAUUUGAGGGAGAGAAGGGAGGGGAGCUCUAGAGAAGUGUUUGAGAGCUCCCCCCCCCUUUGGGGUGUGUUUACAAGCUUGGAGAGACUCACUAUUUAUAGGCCUAGGGGAAGUGAAAAUCUGAAUUAAGUAUUGCUUCUACCUACAGCAUCCACUUCACCAACUUUACCUAACUUCCC
rnacentral:lncRNA from 1 species